rnacentral:rRNA from 1 species
UCCUACGGGAGGCAGCAGUGAGGAAUAUUGGUCAAUGGACGCAAGUCUGAACCAGCCAAAUCGCGUGAAGGAAGACCGCCUUAUGGGUUGUAAACUUCUUUUGUAAGGGAAUAAAAAGCGCUACGUGUAGCACAUUGCAUGUACCUUACGAAUAAGCAUCGGCUAACUCCGUGCCAGCAGCCGCGGUAAUA